rnacentral:rRNA from 1 species
GAUGAACGCUGGCGGCGUGCCUAAUACAUGCAAGUCGAGCGAACGGACGAGAAGCUUGCUUCUCUGAUGUUAGCGGCGGACGGGUGAGUAACACGUGGAUAACCUACCUAUAAGACUGGGAUAACUUCGGGAAACCGGAGCUAAUACCGGAUAAUAUUUUGAACCGCAUGGUUCAAAAGUGAAAGACGGUCUUGCUGUCACUUAUAGAUGGAUCUGCGCUGCAUUAGCUAGUUGGUAAGGUAACGGCUUACCAAGGCAACGAUGCAUAGCCGACCUGAGAGGGUGAUCGGCCACACUGGAACUGAGACACGGUCCAGACUCCUACGGGAGGCAGCAGUAGGGAAUCUUCCGCAAAGGGCGAAAGCCUGACGGAGCAACGCCGCGUGAGUGAUGAAGGUCUUCGGAUCGUAAAACUCUGUUAUUAGGGAAGAACAUAUGUGUAAGUAACUGUGCACAUCUUGACGGUACCUAAUCAGAAAGCCACGGCUAACUACGUG